CUGACGUAAUAACUGGAUUCCUAGUAGAUGCUGUGGUCCCACCGAUGCCAUACACCUCACCUAACAGUUAUUAGUAACAUGCACACUGAUGCACCGAUAACUCUUUGCCCAGAUGCUUCUCUAAGCAUGUUAUAGUGACUUGAUCUCUAAGUCAUAUGAGUUCACCUAAUAGUUAUUAACCACACUCCUUAGUUAGACCCAACCCACCAU
rnacentral:lncRNA from 1 species